AGUAACACGUAAACAACCUGCCUUCAGGAUGGGGACAACAGACGGAAACGACUGCUAAUACCGAAUAAGUUCCAAGAGCCGCAUGGCCCAUGGAAGAAAAGGUGGCCUCUACCUGUAAGCUAUCGCCUGAAGAGGGGUUUGCGUCUGAUUAGCCGGUUGGAGGGGUAACGGCCCACCAAGGCGACGAUCAGUAGCCGGUCUGAGAGGAUGAACGGCCACACUGGAACUGAGACACGGUCCAGACUCCUACGGGAGGCAGCAUG
rnacentral:rRNA from 1 species